rnacentral:misc_RNA from 1 species
AGAGGCAGAUAUUGCCUACAUUAAUCACCACACAUAAGAUAAACCUUCUCAUAGUUCAUCAUUCGAAGUACUAAUAAUAGAUCAAAACCAACCAAAACAUCACAUCUGGGAGAUGAGCUCGGAAUCUCCGUGGCCGGCCUCAACCACCUCGCCUGCCUUGUGCUCAGAAUCUCCGUGUCCGGCCUCAGCCACCUCGCCGGCCUUGCCGUCAUCAGCAGCAAUCCUACGGCAGCGAUCAAACCCAUACCACACCCCAUUCGGUACAGCCACCCCAAAGUAAAACGACACCUUCCGGCCGGUGCUCGUCUCAUAGACCUUCACCGAUUCCGGCAACCACCCAUCCCAUCCCUGCCGAUAAACAUAGAGAUAGCAAACGCCGUACCCGCAAGGCCCGGUGAGCUUGAAGGUAUCGGUGGAGCACCGCUCGAACGCCCUCGACGCCGGAUCGUCGAGCCGCGGCGCGUAGACCUCGUUGCGGUAGGCGUCGCCGAAGGCGAGGCUGAUCGCGUCGCGCGUCAGGCGGGGGGAAGAGCAGCUCGUCUUGAACACCACCGUGUAGUAGCACGCGUUUGAGAUCUGGGAUUUGGGAGCGGGGAUGAAUGAUCUGAGCUCGUGAGGGCGCUGGGUGGGGAGGGAGGAGGAGGCGGCGGCGGUGAGGACGAGGAAGGUGGAGAUCAUGGCGGCGACGGCCACGGCGGCGGCCAUGGAGCCCUAGAUUGAGAGGGUGUU